GGAUUAUAUUUGCGGAUUGGGGUAUGAUGCAACUAGUGGUGACUAUACGAUCCUUAAGAUCGGUUACCAAUCAUGUAGUGAAAUUCUUGCACUGAAAAGUGGUUCGUGGAGAAUAAUAGGUAAGCCUACUGGCAUUUACCGCUCGUGGUUGUCUCAUAUGGACUCUCUGACUUUUGUACAUGGAGCAUUUCAUUGGCUUGGUUUGUCACGGGAUGAGUCUGUGACUUCAUACGAUAUUUCAGAUGAGGUAUUCAAAGAAAUACCAUUUCCAGAUGGAAAGUUUGUGAUUCUGGGCAUGAAUUGCGUCAAACAUGGCCUUUCGGUAUUGGGAGAGAUGAUUUGUAUUUGUACUACUCAUUAUGAUCAGUGGAAGUACACUUUUAACUUAUGGAUAGUGAAAGACUAUGGUAUUAAGGAAUCUUGGACUCGAUUUUUUACUAUCCAAAGUACCGAUCUUUAUUCUUUGGUACCAGAAUACAGGUUUUCAGAUGGUGAAGUGUUACUCCGUUGCAAGCAUUUUGACCGUUGUGGUUAUAUAUUUAAGCAACCAAAGAAUCAUCUGGUUUUUGGCCUCAAUCUCGUUCAGAAUGUAUUCGGAAUGGAUUUGUUUAUACAGAAAGCUUGAUCUCUCCAAAAUUACUUACUUAGUAUUUACUCAUGUACGAUCAGGACAUCAUCUUUUCGAGGAGUCGCAGAACUGGCAGUGGUCAUACAACUUCACGUAUGUGCUUAAGCUGCUCGACCUGUUGGGAACAUAUAUCAGGAUGUCAAAGUGCGCAAUUUACAGCGUUGUGACGAGUUAGAUUUUGUCAUUUUUCGGGGCUUAACCUUGCGUUGCAUGUGACUUUUGUCAAAAACUAAAAGUGAUUGUAUGAACUAUCUGCCUAGUUGAACUAAUCACUUUGUAUUAGUUCCAUUGUGUUUUUAUUAUUUAGACAGCAUGCUGAAGCACAUUAAUGUUCAGUUCCAAUGUGUCAGCUAGCAUUCGAGGAUUUCUCGAUUAUCAAAAAAAUAUUCUCAUCA